AUACGAAAGGUGCAAGCGUUGUUCGGAUUUACUGGGCGUAAAGAGAGUGGAGGUGGUUUAUUAAGUCGGAUGUGAAAUCCCGGGGCUCAACCUCGGAACUGCAUUCGAUACUGAUAGGCUAGAGUUUGGGAGGGGUAAGCGGAAUUCCGUGUGUAGCAGUGAAAUGCGUAGAUAUACGGAGGAACACCUGAGGCGAAGGCGGCUUACUGGACCAAUACUGACACUGAGACUCGAAAGCGUGGGUAGCAAACAGGAUUAGAAACCCUAGUAGUCC
rnacentral:rRNA from 1 species